UUUUUUGCUUUGCUUUACAUGGAUGCGCCGUUGAGAGGAAUUAUAUGGUCGCACCGCAUCUGCAUCGAUCCCAAGUGAAGUUGCGUGGACGCGCGUGGAAGAGUUAGUGCCAAACGUCCAGCGUGCCGACCCCUCGUCUCCAGCCUGCGGGGCCGCCGGCUCUCCAGCCAGGUCAAAGGUCAUCUGCGUCAUGAUGCCAACCGGUCACCUGCCCAUCCUGCUCUCCCUGAGCGCCCUGCUGCUGUCUCCGCUGCUCACCGGCUCCUUAGCCUUAUGU
ensembl:processed_transcript